rnacentral:rRNA from 1 species
UGAGGAAUUUUGCGCAAUGGGGGCAACCCUGACGCAGCAACGCCGCGUGAGUGAAGAAGGCCUUUGGGUCGUAAAGCUCUGUCAACUGGGAAGAAAUUAUAGUUAUCUAAUAGGUGUCUAUAUUGACGGUACCAGUGGAGGAAGCGCCGGCUAACUCCGUGCCAGCAGCCGCGGUAACACGGGGGGCGCAAGCGUUAUUCGGAAUUAUUGGGCGUAAAGGGCGCGCAGGCGGUCUUGUCGGUCAGGUGUGAAAGCCCGGGGCUCAACCCCGGAUGGUCACUUGAAACAGCAAGACUUGAAUACUGGAGAGGAAAGCGGAAUUCCUGGUGUAGAGGUGAAAUUCGUAGAUAUCAGGAGGAACACCGAUGGCGAAGGCAGCUUUCUGGACAGAUAUUGACGCUGAGGCGCGAAGGCGUGGGUAGCGAACGGGAUUAGAUACCCCCGUAGUCC